rnacentral:rRNA from 1 species
GAUAAACGCUGGCGGCGUGCAUGAGACAUGCAAGUCGAACGGUCAGUCGGGCUUGCUCGACUGAUAGUGGCGGACGGCUGAGUAACGCGUAGGUGACCUGCCCCGAAGUGGGGAAUAACUGCCCGAAAGGGUGGCUAAUACCGCAUGUGGUGUCACGUUCGGUCGUGACUCCAAAGCCGCAAGGCGCUUCGGGAGGGGCCUGCGUCCGAUUAGCUCGUUGGUGGGGUAACGGCUCACCAAGGCGACGAUCGGUAGGUGGUCUGAGAGGACGAUCACCCAGACUGGGACUGAGACACGGCCCAGACUCCUACGGGAGGCAG